rnacentral:tRNA from 1 species
GAAAUAAGUGAAUCAAGAGAGAGCUUCUAACUCAUCUCUUUAGCGAUGAAAUUCGUUAGUAUUUCU